UACAGAGGUCUCAAGCGUUGUUCGGAUUCAUUGGGCGUAAAGGGUGCGUAGGUGGCGUGGCAAGUCUGAUGUGAAAUCCCGGGGCUCAACCCCGGAACUGCAUUGGAUACUGCCAUGCUUGAGCACUGGAGAGGAGACUGGAAUUUACGGUGUAGCAGUGAAAUGCGUAGAUAUCGAUAAGGAAGACCAGUGGCGAAGGCGAGUCUCUGGACAGUUGCUGACACUGAGGCACGAAGGCUAGGGGAG
rnacentral:rRNA from 1 species